GGGUAGUUUGACUGGGGCGGUCUCCUCCCAAAGAGUAACGGAGGAGCACGAAGGUUAGCUAAUCCUGGUCGGACAUCAGGAGGUUAGUGCAAUGGCAUAAGCUAGCUUGACUGCGAGCGUGACGGCGCGAGCAGGUGCGAAAGCAGGUCAUAGUGAUCCGGUGGUUCUGAAUGGAAGGGCCAUCGCUCAACGGAUAAAAGGUACUCCGGGGAUAACAGGCUGAUACCGCCCAAGAGUUCAUAUCGACGGCGGUGUUUGGCACCUCGAUGUCGGCUCAUCACAUCCUGGGGCUGAAGUAGGUCCCAAGGGUAUGGCUGUUCGCCAUUUAAAGUGGUACGCGAGCUGGGUUUAGAACGUCGUGAGACAGUUCGGUCCCUAUCUGCCGUGGGCGCUGGAGAAUUGAGGGGGGCUGCUCCUAGUACGAGAGGACCGGAGUGGACGCAUCACUGGUGUUCGGGUUGUCAUGCCAAUGGCACUGCCCGGUAGCUAAAUGCGGAAGAGAUAAGUGCUGAAAGCAUCUAAGCACGAAACUUGCCCCGAGAUGAGUUCUCCCUGAGACUUUAAGUCUCCUGAAGGAACGUUGAAGACGACGACGUUGAUAGGCCGGGUGUGUAAGCGCAGCGAUGCGUUGAGCUAACCGGUACUAAUGAACCGUGAGG
rnacentral:rRNA from 1 species